CUGAGUUGGAAAUUUCCUCUCAAGUAGUGUUUGAUGAACUGAACAAAGAGCAUUAUGCCUAACCAAAGGCAAUAACUUCAUUUCAUUGGACAUUGGACUUAAAAGGCAACAGAGAUGUGACAUCUGAAAUCAGUGAUGAAUGAGCUACUGAUGAACACAUCCAGGACCUCUGGAAGCCAUUCUCAUCCAGCCCAGUAAUACUGCCAUUAUUUUGUUUCAGAGAUCAGUAAAUGUAAUCAGUGUGAUAAAGGAUUUUCAAUGUUAAAACACCUAAUUUCAAUCUUAUUGAGAAAUGAUAUGUCAUUUUAGGCAUAUCCAGAAGUGCUAUAAAGAAAGCAGGUCAUAAAAAAGAAAGGAAAAAAAUUGCAUUAAUCCAGAAAAGCAAACAGAAAAAUCUUAAUCUGAUCAAGUACCUCACCAUCUGUCAAAGUUCCUAGAUGAGCUUAGGAACUGAGCAUUUAGCAUGAGUUGAGUCUUCAGUUGUUACCCUUGCCCCAGGACUGUUAACCUACACACCUUUGCAUUUAGAAUAGAA
ensembl:lncRNA